UACGUAGGGGGCAAGCGUUGUCCGGAUUUAUUGGGCGUAAAGAGCGUGUAGGCGGCCUGGAAGGUCAGCUGUGAAAACUCGAGGCUCAACCUCGAGACGUCGGUUGAAACCACCUGGCUAGAGUCCGGAAGAGGAGUGUGGAAUUCCCGGUGUAGCGGUGAAAUGCGCAGAUAUCGGGAAGAACACCGGUGGCGAAGGCGGGUCUCUGGGCCGAUACUGACGCUGAGGAGCGAAAGCGUGGGGAGCGAACAGG
rnacentral:rRNA from 1 species